AUUGAACGCUGGCGGCAUGCCUUACACAUGCAAGUCGAACGGUAACAGGUCUUCGGAUGCUGACGAGUGGCGAACGGGUGAGUAAUACAUCGGAACGUGCCCGAGAGUGGGGGAUAACGAGGCGAAAGCUUUGCUAAUACCGCAUACGAUCUCAGGAUGAAAGCAGGGGACCGCAAGGCCUUGCGCUCACGGAGCGGCCGAUGGCAGAUUAGGUAGUUGGUGGAAUAAAAGCUUACCAAUCCGACGAUCUGUAGCUGGUCUGAGAGGACGACCAGCCACAAGGGGACUGAGACCAGGCCCAGACUCCUACGGGAGGCAGCAGUGGGGAAUUUUGGACAAUGGGCGCAAGCCUGAUCCAGCCAUGCCGCGUGCAGGAUGAAGGCCUUCGGGUUGUAAACUGCUUUUGUACGGAACGAAAAGACUCUGGUUAAUACCUGGGGUCCAUGACGGUACCGUAAGAAUAAGCACCGGCUAACUACGUGCCAGCCGCCGCAGUAACAC
rnacentral:rRNA from 1 species